rnacentral:rRNA from 1 species
CUCCGGUUGAUCCCGCCGGACCCGACUGCUAUCAGAGUGGGACUAAGCCAUGCGAGUCAACGCAGCAAUGCGUGGCAUACGGCUCAGUAACACGUAGUCAACAUGCCCAGGGGACGUGGAUAACCUCGGGAAACUGAGGAUAAACCGCGAUAGGCCAAGAUUUCUGGAAUGGAUAAUGGCUGAAAUCUAUAUGGCCCCUGGAUUGGACUGCGGCCGAUCAGGCUGUUGGUGAGGUAAUGGCCCACCAAACCUGUAACCGGUACGGGCUCUGAGAGGAGGAGCCCGGAGAUGGGCACUGAGACAAGGGCCCAGGCCCUAUGGGGCGCAGCAGGCGCGAAACCUCUGCAAUAGGCGAAAGCUUGACAGGGUUACUCUGAGUGAUGUCCGUUAAGGGCAUCUUUUGGCACUUCUAAAAAUAGUGUAGAAUAAGGGGUGGGCAAGUCUGGUGUCAGCCGCCGCGGUAAUACCAGCACCCCGAGUGGUCGGGACGAUUAUUGGGCCUAAAGCAUCCGUAGCCGGUUCUGCAAGUCUUCCGUUAAAUCCACCUGCUCAACAGAUGGGCUGCGGAGGAUACUACAGGGCUAGGAGGCGGGAGAGGCAAGCGGUACUCAGUGGGUAGGGGUAAAAUCCUCUGAUCCACUGAAGACCACCAGUGGCGAAGGCGGCUUGCCAGAACGCGCUCGACGGUGAGGGAUGAAAGCUGGGGGAGCAAACCGGAUUAGAUACCCGGGUAGUCCCAGCUGUAAACGAUGCAGACUCGGUGAUGGGUUGGCUUCGAGCCAACCCAGUGCCGCAGGGAAGCCGUUAAGUCUGCCGCCUGGGGAGUACGGUCGCAAGACUGAAACUUAAAGGAAUUGGCGGGGAGCA